rnacentral:rRNA from 1 species
UACGUAGGGGGCAAGCGUUGUCCGGAUUUAUUGGGCGUAAAGAGCGUGUAGGCGGUCUGGUAGGUCCGUUGUGAAAACUCGAGGCUCAACCUCGAGACGCCGAUGGAAACCCUCAGACUAGAGUCCGGAAGAGGAGAGUAGAAUUCCUGGUGUAGCGGUGAAAUGCGCAGAUAUCAGGAAGAACACCCGUGGCUAAGGCGGCUCUCUAGUACGGUACUGACGCUGAGACGCGAAAGCGUGGGGAGCGAACAGG